rnacentral:lncRNA from 1 species
GGUGCCCUAUCUUGAGUGUAUUAUAUCAGUAGGCUUGCAAAGAUAGGAUGACUUGCAUGAGAAAAUAGAAGUUAGCUCCAUAAAAGGCUGGUGAAUGUACAUAUAACUAUGAUUUUGUAACUGUCACUCUGCAUUUGACAACAUAGAAGUUAGCUCCAUAAACAUUUUCUUGUCGUGCAUAUAGGGAACCUUGAAACCAGACAAUUCUUCCCACCUAAAGGAUGAUAAUAAAAACUGAAUGCAGGCAAUUAUUCCUUCCUAAAGGAUGAUAAAAUAAAUAAAUGAUGGCAUGCUGCAUUAUACCACUUUGAAAUAUACAUAGGAAGAAAGGGACACACUUGUACCAAACUUUAUCAUGCGUCAUUAAUCAUAAUCAGUACUUAUUAUUUUCCCAAACCAAGACUAAUUGGCCAUAACUUGAAACACCACGUAUCCAUUUGUGUGGUGACAGCCUGAGCUCCUCCUACCGAGCGCCAAGGAGGAAGGGAUCAAGCAGAAUUGGUGAGUGACUCUCUCUCAUAAUGCAAAAUCGGUGAAACUAAAAACACAUGCUAUAGUUUGAAGUAAAGAAGUAGCAUAUGCAUUGGAGAUGUCAUUGUUUAAUUUACUGAAGUGGCUUCAAAUAUAAAAAAACGCAGAAGUGGCACACUCCAAACCAAUAAGACUGAAAUAAUCUAAGAAUAUUAUCAUUACAGAGGAACGAUUUCUAAACUUGCUGCCUUUAGCUGGUCGCACAGGGCAAAGAUAAUCCCAGUUCUUUACCACCACCACUUAACAAAAAUAGCAUAAAAGGGCAAAGUUAUCAGGGUACCGAGACUUUCUAUAAUAUGUAUCUGAAGCUAACCAUGCUGACCAGUGAGGGCAUCCUAAAGAUUUUAGUAACACCACGAAGCACAGAACAACCACAUGAUGUCAAUGAUUGUCAGGUGAACGGCAAUACCACAGGUAACAUAUAUGAUAGUAAAAAUGUAGAUGUACAAACCCUAGCUGACCAUAUCAAAAAAAGCAGAGGAGAUGUACGACAGACCUAUUAGGUCCACCAACUCCAUCGAUACCCAGCAAAGAUACUUGGGCUCGUGACGACGACAGUCGUGGAGGAGAGAACGAUGGCACCAACGAAAGGGCACGCUCCAACUUCAGAACACGGCUCCACCGUCGACCUUGAUGAGCAGCAUGACAUCACAAACAAAAUCAUACAAACACAAAGGCAACCAAGGAAGCAAGCACACAAGCUUAUAAAUCAGGGCAACCAAAAAUGCUACAACUACAGGUGCAAAAGCAGAUCUCAUGAGAUUAUUAGGCAACAUCAAAGUUAUAUAGCAUACUCUGAUUACAAUCAAUAAAGUUAUAUAGCAUAUUCUCUUUCAACAUCGAAAUUGUAUUUUUCAUCCACCUAAUAGAAUAUCAGAACAGAAAUAAGGGAACUUAAGUGGAAGGG